rnacentral:misc_RNA from 1 species
UUCUUUUCUUUUCUUUUCUUUUCCCUCCAUUUCUUUGAUAUAUUGACAGAUGAUAAGGAAAUGUAUGCUUGCUGUUACCUGUUAACUUUAAAAAUAUGUAUUCCAUAAGAAUUGCAGUGGCAACUGUUAGGGGCUGCCUCUGCUUGUAAACCAGAAACAUGGGUAGUGUAGCAAAUAGGUAACUGGCAAAUUCACAGGAAGAUGGAUUGGUUCCUGAAUAUGAUACAGGAGAAAUUUAGGCAAAAGCUAAUAUGAAUGGAUGUCUGCCUCUUUAUUGUGAUAAUUUAUUUGUAAUUCCAAUACAAUCAUUACUUUAUAAAUGUAUGUUAGAUCAAUAAUAUCACCUCAUGUUAAUGGUCUCAGUAAGGCGAUUGCUGC